GUCUGUAGUCAACACUGAGGCGCGAAAGCGUGGGGAGCGAACAGGAUUAGAUACCCUGGUAGUCCACGCCGUAAACGAUGAGUGCUAAGUGUUAGAGGGUUUCCGCCCUAAAGUGCUGCAGCUAACGCAUUAAGCACUCCGCCUGGGGAGUACGGUCGCAAGACUGAAACUCAAAGGAAUUGACUUGGGCCCGCACAAGCGGUGGAGCAUGUGGUUUAAUUCGAAGCAACGCGAAGAACCUUACCAGGUCUUGACAUCCCACUGACCGGUAUAGAGAUAUACCUUUCCCAACGGGGACAGUGGUGACAGGUGGUGCAUGGUUGUCGUCAGCUCGUGUCGUGAGAUGUUGGGUUAAGUCCCGCAACGAGCGCAACCCUUCUAGUUAGUUGCCAGCAUUUAGUUGGGCACUAUAAG
rnacentral:rRNA from 2 species